rnacentral:rRNA from 1 species
AAAUGAAUAGACGGGGGCCCGCACAAGCGGUGGAGCAUGUGGUUUAAUUCGAUGCAACGCGAAGAACCUUACCAGGGCUUGACAUCUGCCUGACGCAGUUAAGAGAUUAGCUGCCCCUUCGGGCAGGCAGACAGGUGGUGCAUGGUUGUCGUCAGCUCGUGUCGUGAGAUGUUGGGUUAAGUCCCGCAACGAGCGCAACCCUUAUUCUUAGUUGCCAGCAGGUUAAGCUGGGCACUCUAAAAAGACUGCCGGUGACAAACCGGAGGAAGGUGGGGAUGACGUCAAAUCAUCAUGCCCUUUAUGUCCUGGGCUACACACGUGCUACAAUGGCCGGUACAACGGGUCGCCAGACUGCGAAGUUUAGCCAAUCCCUUAAAGCCGGUCUCAGUUCGGAUUGCAGGCUGCAACUCGCCUGCAUGAAGCAGGAAUCGCUAGUAAUCGCGAAUCAGAACGUCGCGGUGAAUACGUUCCCGAGCCUUGUACACACCGCCCGU